rnacentral:rRNA from 1 species
AUUGAACGCUGGCGGCAGGCUUAACACAUGCAAGUCGAACGAGUGGCGGACGGGUGAGUAAUGCUUGGGAAUCUGGCUUAUGGAGGGGGAUAACGACGGGAAACUGUCGCUAAUACCGCGUCCCAUAGGAUGAGCCCAAGUGGGAUGAGGUAGUUGGUGGGGUAAUGGCCUACCAAGCUGACGAUCUCUAGCUGGUCUGAGAGGAUGACCAGCCACCCCGGGACUGCGGGCCUGCCCGGCCGCAGACGGGAGGCAGCAGUGGGGAAUAUUGCGCAAUGGGGGCAACCCUGACGCAGCCAUGCCGCGUGGGUGAAGAAGGCCUUCGGGUUGUAAAGCACUUGCAGCGGGGAGGCGUUACCCGCAGAAGAAGCACCGGCUAACUCCGUGCCAGCAGCCGCGGUAAUUC